GGAGUAUGGGCCGUGUCUCAGUCCCAUUGUGGCUGAUCAUCCUCUCAAACCAGCUACUGAUCGUCGCCUUGGUGGUCCAUUACACCCCCAACUAGCUAAUGAGAUGCAGACUCAUCCUGGAGCAAUAAAUCUUUCACGAAUAGUAUCGCAACUACGCGCAUAUGGGGUAUUAGCAGGAGUUUCCCUCUGUUGUCCCCCACUCCAGGGCAGAUUCUCUACACAUUACUCACCCGUCCGCCACUUUCCAUCCACCGAAGUGAAUUUCUCGUUCGACUUGCAUGUAUGAAGCACGCCGCCAGCGUCGUCCUCGAGCCACGGAUCAAACUACU
rnacentral:rRNA from 1 species